AGGAUGAACGCUGGCGGCGUGCUUAACACAUGCAAGUCGAACGGUGAAGCCAAGCUUGCUUGGUGGAUCAGUGGCGAACGGGUGAGUAACACGUGAGCAACCUGCCCUGGACUCUGGGAUAAGCGCUGGAAACGGCGUCUAAUACUGGAUAUGAGCCUCUUCCGCAUGGUGGGGGUUGGAAAGAUUUUUUGGUCUGGGAUGGGCUCGCGGCCUAUCAGCUUGUUGGUGAGGUAAUGGCUCACCAAGGCGUCGACGGGUAGCCGGCCUGAGAGGGUGACCGGCCACACUGGGACUGAGACACGGCCCAGACUCCUACGGGAGGCAGCAGUGGGGAAUAUUGCACAAUGGGCGAAAGCCUGAUGCAGCAACGCCGCGUGAGGGAUGACGGCCUUCGGGUUGUAAACCUCUUUUAGCAGGGAAGAAGCGAAAGUGACGGUACCUGCAGAAAAAGCGCCGGCUAACUACGUGCCAGCAGCCGCGGUAAUACGUAGGGCGCAAGCGUUAUCCGGAAUUAUUGGGCGUAAAGAGCUCGUAGGCGGUUUGUCGCGUCUGCUGUGAAAUCCCGAGGCUCAACCUCGGGCCUGCAGUGGGUACGGGCAGACUAGAGUGCGGUAGGGGAGAUUGGAAUUCCUGGUGUAGCGGUGGAAUGCGCAGAUAUCAGGAGGAACACCGAUGGCGAAGGCAGAUCUCUGGGCCGUAACUGACGCUGAGGAGCGAAAGGGUGGGGAGCAAACAGGCUUAGAUACCCUGGUAGUCCACCCCGUAAACGUUGGGAACUAGUUGUGGGGACCAUUCCACGGUUUCCGUGACGCAGCUAACGCAUUAAGUUCCCCGCCUGGGGAGUACGGCCGCAAGGCUAAAACUCAAAGGAAUUGACGGGGACCCGCACAAGCGGCGGAGCAUGCGGAUUAAUUCGAUGCAACGCGAAGAACCUUACCAAGGCUUGACAUACACCAGAACGGGCCAGAAAUGGUCAACUCUUUGGACACUGGUGAACAGGUGG
rnacentral:rRNA from 1 species